AAUUGUGGUCUGUGAGGUUCUAGAAGGUUCCAUAAGAAAAAAGGAUGUCUACUGUAUAGGGUGGUGUCCCGCACAAAAUCAAAGUCGACCGAUGUUUGACUCGGGCCACUUUCGUAAUCAGCCACGCAAUUUAGGUGACUAGUACCUAAACCCUCCACUGUGUGUUUUAGAGGAUGUCUUUGAAGGAAGAAAAGGAAUAGGCGGUAACAUACCAGGAGUCCAGGGGUUGUGAAGGUAUCCGAGGAAAAGCGGGUGGCAGAGCGCAGGCUUCGCCAGACCACAAAGGUUUUGAUGGGGAUGACGGUUCGAAAUAUCGACGAUCUAAGGGAGAAGCCAGAGCCGUUUGGCCAGUCCAUAGAUAGGAAGAAACAAUGCCGGGGAAGAAUAAUCGAGAGAGCUGGAAAAAUUAGCGAGAAAUUUGCGUAAAUAUUAAAUUCAGUACACUUAUUCGAAAUGAACCUGAAUCUUCAUUGAAUAUUUUACAUCUAGACAUCUUUAACAAUAUCAAUUUACAAAUUCAAUAAAUUGAUAAAUGAUCAAUUUUGUUCUCUGCUACACACGACAAAAAUGAGAAUGUACACACGUAUUAAGUGCAAGUGAGAUAACGGAACACUUUUACCAAGGAGAGUAGUUGUCUAGUUGACGUUUACUUGUACCCGACGAAACAAUAGCGAAACAUUUUGAAGUGGUUUGAACGUUGCGGCAUUACAUUGUCUCA